rnacentral:rRNA from 1 species
UAGGGAAUCUUCGGCAAUGGACGAAAGUCUGACCGAGCAACGCCGCGUGAGUGAAGAAGGUUUUCGGAUCGUAAAACUCUGUUGUUAGAGAAGAACAAGGACGUUAGUAACUGAACGUCCCCUGACGGUAUCUAACCAGAAAGCCACGGCUAACUACGUGCCAGCAGCCGCGGUAAUACGUAGGUGGCAAGCGUUGUCCGGAUUUAUUGGGCGUAAAGCGAGCGCAGGCGGUUUCUUAAGUCUGAUGUGAAAGCCCCCGGCUCAACCGGGGAGGGUCAUUGGAAACUGGGAGACUUGAGUGCAGAAGAGGAGAGUGGAAUUCCAUGUGUAGCGGUGAAAUGCGUAGAUAUAUGGAGGACCACCAGUGGCGAAGGCGGCUCUCUGGUCUGUAACUGACGCUGAGGCUCGAAAGCGUGGGGAGCAAACAGG